GCCACCUUAGCUCAGUUGGUAGAGCGGCUGUCUUGUAAACAGCAGGUCGUCGGUUCAAUCCCGACAGGUGGCUCCA
rnacentral:tRNA from 1 species